AUUAUUGAUACGGCUCAGUCAGUCAAGGGAAAUCUGUCUACAUAAUGACACCCAUUCCUAGGAGUCUAUUCAGAGCACAGCACUAAGCGCAUACAAGCAGGGGAGAUCUGUCAACGUACUGAGUUGAGAUGUGCAUUUUGUAAGGCGUACUCAGUCUGAUGUCUGCAGUUUUUAGCUCUCUGAAUAGGUGGUUAAUAUAUACAUACAUUAUAUAACGCGGUAUCCCAUCAGGCAAUACAUAGAUUAUAUAACGCGUUAUCCCAUCGGGCAAUACAUACAUUACAUAACGUGGUAUCCCAUCCCGUAAUACAUAGAUUAUAUAACGCGGUAUCCCAUCAGGCUAUACAUACAUUAUAUAACGUGGUAUCCCAUCCCGUAAUACAUAGAUUAUAUAAC